rnacentral:rRNA from 1 species
UACGGAGGGUGCAAGCGUUAAUCGGAAUUACUGGGCGUAAAGCGCGCGUAGGUGGUUAAGUAAGUCAGAUGUGAAAGCCCCGGGCUCAACCUGGGAACUGCAUUUGAAACUGCUUGGCUAGAGUAUGGUAGAGGGAAGCGGAAUUCCGGGUGUAGCGGUGAAAUGCGUAGAUAUCCGGAGGAACAUCAGUGGCGAAGGCGGCUUCCUGGACCAAUACUGACACUGAGGUGCGAAAGCGUGGGUAGCAAACAGG